rnacentral:rRNA from 1 species
UACAGAGGUGGCAAGCGUUGUUCGGAAUUACUGGGCGUAAAGGGCGCGUAGGCGGUCCGAUAAGUCCCGUGUGAAAGCCCCCGGCUCAACUGGGGAACUGCACGGGAAACUGACGGACUUGAGUUCGGGAGAGGGAAGCGGAAUUCCGGGUGUAGCGGUGAAAUGCGUAGAUAUCCGGAGGAACACCGGUGGCGAAGGCGGCUUCCUGGACCGACACUGACGCUGAUGCGCGAAAGCUAGGGGAGCAAACAGG